rnacentral:rRNA from 1 species
GAUGAACGCUGGCGGCGUGCCUAAUACAUGCAAGUCGAGCGAACGGACGAGAAGCUUGCUUCUCUGAUGUUAGCGGCGGACGGGUGAGUAACACGUGGAUAACCUACCUAUAAGACUGGGAUAACUUCGGGAAACCGGAGCUAAUACCGGAUAAUAUUUUGAACCGCAUGGUUCAAAAGUGAAAGACGGUCUUGCUGUCACUUAUAGAUGGAUCCGCGCUGCAUUAGCUAGUUGGUAAGGUAACGGCUUACCAAGGCAACGAUGCAUAGCCGACCUGAGAGGGGGAUCGGCCACACUGGAACUGAGACACGGUCACGACUCCUACGGGAGGCAGCAGUAGGGAAUCUUCCGCAAUGGGCGAAAGCCUGACGGAGCAACGCCGCGUGAGUGAUGAAGGUCUUCGGAUCGUAAAACUCUGUUAUUAGGGAAGAACAUAUGUGUAAGUAACUGUACACAUCUUGACGGUACCUACUCAAAAAGCCACGGCUAACUACGUG